UACGUAGGGUGCGAGCGUUAAUCGGAAUUACUGGGCGUAAAGCGUGCGCAGGCGGUUUUGUAAGCCAGAUGUGAAAUCCCCGGGCUUAACCUGGGAAUGGCAUUUGGGACUGCAAGGCUGGAGUGCGGCAGAGGAGACUGGAAUUCCUGGUGUAGCAGUGAAAUGCGUAGAUAUCAGGAGGAAUACCGAUGGCGAAGGCAGGUCUCUGGGCUGACACUGACGCUCACGCACGAAAGCGUGGGGAGCAAACAGG
rnacentral:rRNA from 1 species